rnacentral:lncRNA from 1 species
UUUUUUUUUUGGGUCGACACUCUGUUGCCGAGCUGUGUACUCCGCAAACGGUUGUUUUGCCGUGUGCACAUGAGUGAGUGCUCAGUGUUAUAAGGGAUAGAGAGGGAUUGUUGUGGAAUAUGGUGAUGUAUUAUUGAGCCUCAAUGGCGAGUAUAUAUUGAGUACAAGACUUGAAAGGCAAAACGCCUCUCUUAGAGAUAAGAUAAAAGACGGAUUAAAAAUCCUAGACUACCAAACAUAUGUAACCCAAAUAUAUCUCUAAUAUGGACGCGGAGUUUUGGCUCCCGAGCUCAUCUGCACCCCCGCUCAAAAAAAAUCAAAACAAAUACUAGAAAAAUUCAAAAAAAUCCAAAAAAAAAAAAUUUGGGUGGUAGAUAAUUUGACGCCUGAGGUCCGCUCCAAAAUUCAACUCAUUUGAGCAUCUGAGCAGCUCUCGGCAAAAAAGACAAAAUCAGGGUCUGUAAAAAUGUUUACCGUUCACGCACUGUUUUGACCUGAUUUGUCUUUUUUGCCGAGAGCUACUCAGAUGUCCAAAUAAGUUGAAAUUUGGAGCGGACCUCACGCGACAAAUUAUCUAUCACACAAAAAAAUGGAAUUUUUUGAAUUUUUUAGUAUUUAUUUUGAUUUUUUCUGAGCGGGAGCAGGUGAGCCUGGGCACCCAAGUGGAUAUCCGUAACAUACCCCCGUAGUCAUAGCAGUAGCGUUGCAAACAACAGGAUCGAGCAUCGCGGACGGUCAGACUGAAGAGAAUAGCAGCCGGCGGGCUGACAUCCCCCGCAGUCGUAGCGGGAGCGUCGUGGACGGUGUCGCGUCGCGGGCGCAUUGACUGUAGAGGAAGCCGACGAGUUGCUCAAGCGGAUGAUAACCCUUUUGUGCCGAUGUUGAUGAAGCCGAGAGUGUAUGGUGGUGUAGCUGUGGUCGAGGUAGCCGUGCGGAGAACGCCAUGGUCGAUGUCGAGUCGGGGUAGCCGGUGUCGAGGAAGUGGCCGCGAAGCCACGGGCGCAAGGAGGCCCCGACUUAGUCAUGGGCGCAUUGGUGUCGAAGUAGUGGUGCGCCGGGGAGAAGACGAUGUUGGCGAGGCAUCGGGCCGGUUAUGCCAAGCCCGGGGACACAUCAUAGAUGAAGGCACGUGUUGACGUUGCCAGCACCGGGCAUGCGUAGAUGGACGAAGACGUAGUUGACGAAGCUCCACACCAGGCUCGCCAGGCCCGGAGACAAGUCGUGGACGAAGGCACGCAUCGGUGUUGCCAGCAUCGGGAAUGCGUAGAUGAGGUAUCUGCAUGAGCUGUACGCCAUGUCGAGGAGUCGGAGGGCCAGCAGAGAAGAAGACUCGACAAUGAUUGUGGUGCCAAUCAACGCAGGGCAGAUGUCGCCGAUGGUGGUCGGAGUAGAUGAAGUGGUCGGGGAAGAAUACGGCGACGCUGGUCACAGGUUGGUGCUUGAUGAAGACGAAGAGGGUGGACGGGCGGCGACGACGGCUACAGGGAUAGCGGCGGCAGCGGCCAAAGAAGAGCGGCUACGGCGGCCUAUCGGCCGCGGCCGCGGUGCUCGAAGUAGGCGAAGAACCCGACAACAUGACGAAGAUCGGCACGAGCGGUAGCAUUGCCGCACCGAGGGAGACGGCGUGGCGCAUACCACGGGAAGUCGAUGCGCGGUGACGGUGGAGUGGACCACGGGCCGCAGCGCUACGGCUCGGAGGGGCGACACAGCGGCGGCGGGCAGGUAGGGGCGAGGGCGGGAAGACCUCGGGGUGGUGGCGGGGACCGCGGCCGCGGCGCUAUUACCUGAAUGGGCGGCACAACAGCGGAGGGCGGGUCGGUGUAACCACGGGGAAGGCCUCGGAUGGCAUGGAUCAUGUGCCACGCUCGCUACGGCCCAACGGGACGAUGCAUCGGCGGCGCAAGGGUCGGCGCAACCACGGGAACGACCUGAAAUGAAUGGUCGCGAGGCGGCGGUGGACCGCGGGCCGCCGCACUACGGCCCGAAGGGGCGACGCAGCGAUGACGCGGAUCGGUGCAGCUGCGGAGAGAACCACGUUGCGGCGACGCUGCGGCCCGACGGGGCGACGCAGCAGCAACCCGAUGCUCGAUCGGGGGAGAGGCGCUCUGUACACUGGACAAUCUUCACGGGAUUUUCGGAGGAGCGUGCAACCGAUGGGCCAGUUCAGUCGCACGGCGUAGAUGAGGCGCAUCGCGGCGACGGUGGAUGAUCAAUCCGAUCACGCGCGAGGUCGGGGACGCCGCUUUGCAGAGGCGUGGUGGCGGCGGAGUCCAAGAUGAAGCCGACGAUGAUGGCGCGGCCGGCCCAAGGUAAUCGGCAAGGCCGAGGCAGGCGUCCCAAGGUAGCCAACAAAGGGGCCACAACCAGCGCGCCCGAGGUAGCCAGCGACGGGGCCUCAUAGACGCGGUGGACACGAUGGAUGAUGAAGAAUCCCGGUCAGAGCAGGGCGGUGACGGCCAGCACAGGGCGGUGGGCAGGCCGAUGCGCGGACGGCGGCAGGCAUGAUGGGCCACCUUGGAGCGCGUGGCUGUCGGGUCGGAAGAGAGGCCAGUCGGUCGUGCUGGUGUCGAAGUAGAGGCGCGGUGGGUCGACGAGGGCAGCGGGCGACGCAAACCAAUCAAGCCUAGAUCGGAAAACCAAAAAAAAACGCCGAUCAAAGUGACCAACGGGAGAGAGAAACAACUCGGAGCAAAGACUCAGAAAAAAGACUCUCUAAGGCAGUCGGUCAAUAGGACAGGCGGACGAACCCUAGGUACGGGCGGCGCGGCCCCCGACGGCCGUCAUGGAGGCCGACCGCCCCCGAGACGGCGCGCGGGUGCGGAAGCGGCAACGGCUAAGAUUUAGGAUUGAGAUAAGACUGAUACCACGUUAUAAGGGAUAAAGAGGGAUUGUUACGGAAUAUGAUGGAUGUAUUAUUGAGCCUCGAGGGCAAUUAUAUAUUGAGUACAAGAUUUGAAGGACAAAACGCUUCUCCUAAAAAUAAGAUAAGAGACGGAUUACAAAUUCUAGACUAUCAAACAUAUAACCCAAAUAUAUCUCUAACACUGGGCACACACUUUGGCACUCGGCGAAGACGAAUUUUCCAAGUGCAUAUGCAUAUUGUUGAUCAAUUGAUGAAUACGUACCUUCUAUUUUUCUACUGGAUCAUAAUUGCCCAUAAGUGUGCACGCAUAUCCAUCCAUCAACGAUCCACUGGUAGAUUGCUAUUUACUGAUGUUUUAUACAUCAGCCAAACCUCCUGAUUGUAUCUCUCAGAGCUGGCUCCAGUCGAGUAACCUAAAAGCAUGGUUAAUAGUAUAGCUAGUUGUUAUCUAUAGCCAGCCUUAUAGCUGGCAAGUACAAUAGAUGUAUAUAAAUUUAUAGAGGUAAUAUCACCGUAGGUCAUAGAACUUGUGUUCGAUGUUCAGUUUAGUGCUACAAUUUUAGAAAUACGAUGCGGUCACAAAAUACGCGUGCGGAUGCAUCAGAGUGUAUAGCCCCAUGUGUUAGUGAGUGGUGAUGCUUGGCUGACUUAUUUUUACACAAAACACCAUAAUAUAUUUUUUUAUUUGCGGGAAAGCCGGCCACACUGUACCAUAGGAGAAAAGCUAAAAAAAAUAAAAAAAUAAAAAGUGUAUAUGUACAGUAAACUUGAUUGUUCAAAUGUCACUCUGUUUUACCGCUAUGUCAAACCGUCCUCUUCCCGCAAAAAAAAAAACCGUCCUCAUGUGCAAUUAGCAUCACUCACAUUGUUUUACUGCUCCACUUGUAAGUAUCGUGUGUUUCUUAAAAUAAAACCUUCUAAAUACUGUUGAUGGCAUUAUAUGUUGAUCUUAAUGUGUCAGACUGUCAACCUACCUGAACAUGACCUCUCGUCCUGCUUAUUGGAAUCAACUGUAGCAGUGCGCGCCUCUACAUGUUUCAGGUAAUAAAAAAAAGGACCAGUAAAAUAACUUAAAUGGGCUGCAGAUGUACACCCACUGCUCAUUGAUGCGAAAAAAUAAAUGGCAUUUAGGCUCCACUCUAAGUACACCUAAUUUUGCUAUCUAUACAUGACAUACGAACGGGAUAGGUUGGUUGGCUAGAGUGGCAUCCCUCUUUUUUUAGACAAACGCGUUAGCAUCGGCCGUCCACCAACCAGUCCCACAUGUAAGCAUCACAGGUUGGCCCCAUGUGCCAAUACCAAUAGGUCCCACGUGUCAGCAUCUCAAGUCAGCCCCGCAUGUCAGCACCAAUAGGUCCCACUAACCUAUCUCAGGUCGGUCCCACGCGUCAACACCGGCGAACUAACGGUCAACAGCUUUGACCAGACAGCCCGGCACCGUUUGAUCUUUUGUGAGGCGCGUAUGAGGGCAAGUAAGCACACUUAGAUGGGCGGGCGAAAACUGAGCAGAACUAAGGAAGGAGGGGAAUGAAAUAUAAAUCUUGUUAUCAAUCGGUCUACUCCACGACUGAAUCUGCCCUAAGGGGAACUGAUACUAUGGUAUACAACAACAAAUUGAUGAGAUCAAGUUCAGAGUUGGUGUACAAGAUCAGCAUGUCUUCCCAUGUGGUGAGCUUGAAUUUUUCAUAGCUACAGAGAAGAUGGAGGAAUCAUAGAAGGCCGGAAGGAUGUACUUGAGAGACCAAUGACACGAGUAUUUCUCGGUUUAGGGAAAAAAAAGAGGUCAGGGCCACUUCUUCUAACACUGUGAAAAAACUAUGGUUUUGAAGAUAUUAUGGUUUGGUGAACUGAAGUAUUUGUUGACGCCAAACGCAUCAAAGUCUUUUAAACAGUGGUUUCUAAAAAUACCAUGGUAUUUUCCUAAAACUCCAAAAACCCUGUGGUGCCAAAUGAUGCCUAAGUGGUUCAAUUUUGUCAACAUGACCACAAAUAUUAUCAUACAUGACGUGAUGAAGGUUAUAUAAAGCACUAUCCAUUGGGUGAUUCAUGCAAGAGUGGAACUCAGUAGAGUAGUUAGGGUUAUGGUAGGGUUGAAUGGAUGAAUGGGACUGGACCACGGAUAUAUAGAUAACGAAUCUAUGUGGUCGGGCUACAUGCAUAGGAAUAUAAAUAAGAUUUUGUAUUGUGUAGAUACAGAUUCAUGGUUCCUUAUGUUUUUCUACUACAAGUCAUCAUUGCUUUUCAGUUUGAUCAUGCAAGUUUCAAUUUACAAUUCCGUAAUUUUCCAUUCCAGUUCAUCCCUUUUGGGCAUAGCCCACCGAACACAUGUGUGUAAACUCACGGAAACAAAGUGCGCCGACCCCGUAAUGUGAUGCAACAAAUGAAAUGCAUUUGCCAUACUCCAAACUGCAUUAGGACAUGAGUGCACAGGUGUGAUAAGUUGACCACAUCCAACCUCGUUGGGACUUCAACUGACCAUCAGACACCCCGACUUGCUUUUCGCGGUCUCGCGGGUAUGCCCUUGCCGGUGUAAGUUUUAGAUACCAUGGUUCAAAGGAAGCUACGCGGCACGACCACCGUUGGGCACGAUCUCUCAGAGUCUUUUGCCCAAGGAGUGAAAGGUGUUUUUCCGAUGCCACUCAUUCCGAACUUUGAACAAGCAUGCGUGCACGGUACCAUACACGCACGCAACGUCUCAUGCCUACACGGAGUUAUGUGAUUAACUGCCUAUGGUCUAAACAGAGCUUGGCAGUUUCAGUAUCAAGCAAGAAGUAGUUUGUUUUUGAGAAGAAAGAAGUAGUUUGUUGGUAGGCUGAGCGACGUGACGGGUGUGUGUGUGUGUGUAUAUAGAGUGGGGAUGAAAAAGCCGGAGGGUUGGGCUUGCAACUUCCGAGUGGCGGGCCGGGAACAAACAGAGCCCGUGAACAAAUCUUUAGCCCAUGUGGCCCGGGCAGCGUGCACACUGAUUCCGACCGUUGGGGUCGCCUCGGGUGCGCGCUCUCUCUCUCUCUCGCUUUCGGCAAAGCCACGCGCACUCAUCUCCCCGACCGUUGCCAAAAAUUCCCCUUCAAAACCUCCCACGCGAACCUCGCCAUCCCCACCCAGGCCGCGAAUCCACCGCCACACGCCCCACCCCACCCUCGCCGGAGAAGAAGGACCCAUCCCGUCCAAUCCGCACGCCAGCGCAGCCCAUGGCCGACGCCGCCGCGCUGGUCGCCGUGCCGCCGCCGCAGGCGCAGCAGCGGCACCCGCUGAGCCAGAUCGCGGCGAGCGGGACGCACCGGCUGCUGCUCAAGCAGUGGCUCAAGGAGGAGGACCUGCUGGCGCGCCGCGUCGCGCUGCGGGAGGCCCGCCUCGACGGCGCGCGCAAGGAGAUCGCCUUCCUCUACUGCGCCUUCUUCGCCUUCCACGCCGCAUCCGUCCUCGUCCUCUUCCUCUCCGCCGCCAUCCCGUCCCCCGGCCCGUCGUCCUCCUCCUGCCGCCGCUCCUGGAUCCCCUGCCUCGUCUCGCUGCUCGCCUCCCUGGCCAUGCUGUGGGCGCUGCGGUACAAGGCGGACACGGAGGCCGUGCUGGAGCGGGUGCUGGCGCGGGAGCAGGAGGACGCCGCGCUGCUCGGCCGCUGCGUCGCCGAGCUCAAGCGCAAGGGGCUCGAGUUCGACCUGCUCAAGGAGGUGGACGCGCUGCGCAGGGCCAAGGCCCUCCGCGUCGAGGCCAAGGCCGGCGCGGGCGGCGCCGACGGACCCAGGCGCUGGCCCGCCAGGGACCUCCCCGUCUUCGCCCUCUUCGCCGCCGCCUGCGGUGUCCUCAUGCUCACCAGGUUCCUGCUCUGCAACUAGGCCGGGUCUCACGAAUCAUGGUCCGUUCCGUGUUCGUCAGGACUUCGAUCGCUGGAUCGAUUCAUGAAGCCUACUGUUCUGUUCGUUCCUGCAGAACUGUUUGUUCUGCGAAUUUUGAUGUCUGUAAUAAGGAAAAGGUUGUCAUGCGUUCGAUUUUGUUCUGUGGUCCUACCAGCUGAGAACAAAAUUACCCUCUCAAACCUCAGUGUUAAUGACCAUGAAGAUAUAUGUCAAUCCCCUAAAUUUGAUCCUCUUACAUCCUUGUGCAGGAUUGUGAUUGUUCAGUGAUGUUUGAUCCUCUUACAUCAUUGGGCUGUUGUGCUGGAUUGUGAUUGUGCAUGAUAUAUGUUACUACCUCAAAUUGAUCAUCUUAUUGCAUUGUUCUCGUGGAGGAUUGCGAUUGUUCUGUGAUGUUUGUCUUCCACAUAUCAGAAAUUAAGUUAGCGAGAUAACAUUGGCACCCCAAUUUGCCAUGAUAUCAAAUCAAGCCAUCUGUUACUGGGAUACAAUUUGGAACGUUGUGGGAAACGUUCAGAGUAAAUUACCAAGUGUCAGAGUUGGAUGCAUUUUGGAACAUCAUGGAAGGUACGGUGAAGGAAGUUAAAGCAGUCUUAAGGAAACCAGGUGUAUUUUAGAAGGGAUAGUGCCAGCUCAACUCUAGUUCCUGAAUCUAUUCUCCUCCUUUUGAUUGCCCUUUACACCUGAAAACUCUUGACAAACCCGAUUCCAUGCAGCUUCAGAUGCAAGCCUGAUAAAAGGAAAUUGCAAACCAAGACAAGUCUUCAGAAGUGGUUAGCUGAUUGCAAUCGGAAACCAAACAACAUCAUGGAUUUACACUUAUUAUAAUUAAAAAGAUGAACUGUGUUUACAAAAUUAUCAUGGUAUUAUUACCAUGAGAGUUGUGUUGGUUUUUGCUUGUGCAUGUACCAGAGGGAAAAAUCAAAAUAUGUGCAAUCUCCAUACAAUUACCAUAAAGAUAUCAGUUUUGCUAGAACUCAUCUAGAUGAGAUAUAAUUUGGUCUCAUUCACCUUUUAUAACCAUUGGAUGUGAUGCUAUAAGAUGCGUGUGUCCUAACAUGGGCUGUAUCUAUUCUUGUUUUCAAAGUGAAUGAGACCAAACUAUAUCUCAUUUAGAUGAGUUCUAGGUACUCCCUAAAGAUAUACUGUAGCAAUCACCAUGAGAGAUAUUAUUACUGUUAGCAGCAAAAAUAUCUGAAGAACUCAGCCCGGUUUCUGGAAACCAAAAAGAUACUGUCCGCUUUCCAUCGCCUGGUGCUAUCAUUUUUGGAACAUUUGAGGAAGAAAUGUGCAAAAUCAGUGAGUUGCUGCAAGUGCCAUAUUUGGUGUCCAGUUCGCCUUGCAUCGAAAACCAUUCUUCAAGGAGUUUUUGGGGGCCCAACUCUAUCUAGUUUUCCUGAAUCUAUACUCCUCCUUUUGCUUGACUUUUGACACCUGAAACUCUUCCAUCACAUCAGAAACCCAAUUCCAAUCAGCUCAAGCCCGAGAAAGCAAAUUUUGCAUACAUACCAAGCAACGGUUGAUUAUCACAAACUAAUACAGUAUUCAUUACAUCGAUUUGCACAUCUCAUAGAAACGCAACUGUGAUCACAAAUCAUCACACACCAGAUCACCAUCCCGUCCUCCUUCACAGUGAACACCUCACAAGAAACGAGCAACAAAUUACUACUCCAUGUACACGGGGACACACCACACCACCCGGUAAUAAUCAACCAAACCCAAUAAACAACAACACCAACGCUCCAUCGAUCAGACGGCGUCGGGGCCCUCCUUCUUCACCGGGACCGGGGCCGGGUACGGCCCCGGGGACUGUCCGGCGACACCGGGCGGCGGCAGCGGCGUGCCGUAGAUCUGUGCGCCGACGCCGGCGCGCAUCUCCUCGCGGCCCUUGUGCUUGCCGAGGAAGUAGCAGCCGAAGCCGAGCAGGACGGUGAAGAAUAUGAAGGGCAGCGAGAUCACCAGCACGAACCCCAUUCUCCUCCUCCCGCCCGGAUGCUUGAGCUUGACUGCUUACUGCCUGGACGUNNNNNNNNNNNNNNNNNNNNNNNNNNNNNNNNNNNNNNNNNNNNNNNNNNNNNNNNNNNNNNNNNNNNNNNNNNNNNNNNNNNNNNNNNNNNNNNNNNNNNNNNNNNNNNNNNNNNNNNNNNNNNNNNNNNNNNNNNNNNNNNNNNNNNNNNNNNNNNNNNNNNNNNNNNNNNNNNNNNNNNNNNNNNNNNNNNNNNNNNNNNNNNNNNNNNNNNNNNNNNNNNNNNNNNNNNNNNNNNNNNNNNNNNNNNNNNNNNNNNNNNNNNNNNNNNNNNNNNNNNNNNNNNNNNNNNNNNNNNNNNNNNNNNNNNNNNNNNNNNNNNNNNNNNNNNNNNNNNNNNNNNNNNNNNNNNNNNNNNNNNNNNNNNNNNNNNNNNNNNNNNNNNNNNNNNNNNNNNNNNNNNNNNNNNNNNNNNNNNNNNNNNNNNNNNNNNNNNNNNNNNNNNNNNNNNNNNNNNNNNNNNNNNNNNNNNNNNNNNNNNNNNNNNNNNNNNNNNNNNNNNNNNNNNNNNNNNNNNNNNNNNNNNNNNNNNNNNNNNNNNNNNNNNNNNNNNNNNNNNNNNNNNNNNNNNNNNNNNNNAAUUGCUGCGGGUGCUCUGCGCUGGGAGGGGAAGCCGCGUGGGGAUGGGAGUUUUAUAUGCACGGGGGACAUGGAUGGGGGAAGCGGCGGAGGAGAAAGAUGGUGCGGAAGAAGGCGGCUGGGGCUGGAAGCUUGUGGAGUGUGCUGCUGCCGUGAGCGCGUGACUGCGUACGGGUGACCGUUGGCUUGGCGCUUAAUUUGGGGGCAACGGUCGAAUGCCUUGGGGUCUUCUGUUCCGUGGAGCGUGUUUCAGCUACGUCGCCUUCAAGGUUUACAAGUGUAGGAGUACAUCAUCUUCUAUGGCGUAAACGUUUCACGCCGGGGCGCCGGCCGAAGCUUCAGCCGGUCGCACGCGUGCACUCGGUUUCCUGUUGCUGCUAGUAGGCCAACCACCCAUCCCUUAUCCUCUCAUCUCUAUUCUUCUCCUCUGUUGCUUUCUUUUUUCUGCUCUUGCCAUGGCGCCCAAUGCCUGCCCCCUCAUCACUUCAUGCGGAGCUUGCCGUCGUUGACGGCCAGACCGCCUACUGCCGUGAGACCUUCCUCCCCCAUUGAUGCAAGCAUCUCUCCCCUUCUCCUGCUUCGAAGCUGCCCUCUAGCUGCCGCAUGUACAGAGGGCGUCACACACUCCCCCGCACCCCGGCGGUUGAUGCAUGGGUCUGCUGGCGGUUCCGUCUUGCCGGAAGGAAUGCCCUCGAGGCGUUGUUGGAAGCAGGGGCGCCGGCGGCUGUGGGCUAUGGCCAGGAAGAUGAGGCACGCUCUCCUUUCAUGCCCAGCCAGUACCUCUGCUUCAACCAGCCAGAUUGUUUGCUGGGACCGGCAAUGAUUUUUGCUGGAAUUAGUGUAUUAUUUUGCUGACGAUCACGCACAUGCUGUCAUUAUUAUGCUGCUACCUUUUUGCUGGAACUAGCUACAAUUUUUGCUGAAAUUUGCUGGAACCGGCAACGAAAUUUGCUGGAACCGUUGUCUAAAUUUGCUUGAGAACCCGCGUAAGUGUUGAUCUUUUCUGUGACAUUCAUCAGAUUUUUGCUGUAACCCGCUACAAUUUUUGCUAGAACCAGCUACAACUUUUGCUGGAACCGUUGUCUGAAUUUGUUGUGGAACCUGCGUAAGUUGUGAUCUUUUCUGCGACAUUCAUCGGAUUUCUGCUGGAACCGACUACAAUUUUUGCUGGAACCGGCUACAACUUUUGCUGGAACCCUUGUCUGAAUUUGUUGGGGAAUCCGCGUAAGUUGUGAUCUUUGUUGCGACAAUUUAUUUGCUUUGUUUGCUACAAUCAGUGACAAGUUUUGCUGAAAACGGCGUUGGAAUUUGUUGAACCAACCAUCGGAGUUUAUCUGUCUGUGUCCGCCCGUCCUUUGAUUUUGCUACAACAGUGAUGGUGAAUGCUACAACCGGCGAUGAUUUUUGCUGGAUCCAGCACAUGCAAAUGAUGGAGACGAGUAGCACGACAUGUUGCAAGCGGCACCCACCGGCGCCAGAGACGACGUGCGGCGUUGCCGCUGCGAGUAGCCUCGUCGGCGAAGCGUCACCCUGCGGCUAGCAGAGGUGGAUGUACGCGCUGCGGGUGGAUCUGCUGCUACGAGGGGGAUUUUUCCCCAAGACUUCGAGCAACGCUGCGAGUAGGCUCGUCGGCGAUUCGAGUUGGGGGCAGAUGCAGUAGCAGGGGAAGCGAGCGGCGCCAUGGAUGGCGUCUUGUUCCAGGGACGAGCGGCGGCCUGGGACAGUGCGUUUGUGGGCGUCUGCGUUGACUAGCGAUAAGGUGGGAAAGAGAGAGUCUUGCGUGCGAGGGAUGCGGAAGUGGGGACGAGACGCUUCAAUCUGAACGGUUUCUAUGCAUCACAUCUGACGGUCAAGGUCGGACCGGCCGAAAGUUUAAGCCGAUGCACCGGCGCAGAUUACUGCCCUUUGGAUUUUCUGUUGCAAAAUCAGGAGGGGAAAAAAUAUUAGUGGUACAUGACUGUGCAGCGGAGAUAGUUUUAAUAUCAUAUUAUUAUUAUUAUUUUCGCUGGUGACCGGCAUAACUCCCUCAUGGUCGAACAAGUCGUGUUGUCGGCCCGACCAUGAGGAAACCAUGGUGGCCAAUUAGACCUGGCCAUCCUUCGGGCCGGGCCUGACCAAGCCCGAGGUAGAAAACUCAGGCCCGAGCCUGGCCCAGCCCAGCCAUCGGGACUACUUUUCAGGCCCAAGCCCGGCCCGGCACAACAAAAAACACACCGGGCCGGGCCUCUUCAGUAAAUGGCAGAAACAGCAGGCCCAGGCCCAGCCUGGCCUAGUCUUCGGGCUCAAAAUCUAGGCCCAGGCCCGGCCCGGGAGCAGCGCCGGGUCGGGCUGUUCGUGCCGGGCGGCCCAUGGCCAGGACUAUGGCCAAUAGAAAACAUGGUCGACCGUGUCGUGCUGUCGACGAGCCGAAGCCGGAGACAACAUGGCUGAUCGCGGAGGUGAUGAGGCAAGUUCAUCAGGAGUAAGAUGGUGGGGUGUCAGGACAGAGGCUCGCGACAACAGUUAGAUGGGCAACAGUACCGAUUCAAAUGUCCAAGUGCGUUUCAACCGUCGAUCGACGAUCCUACGGCUUCGGCGCGUGUACCGCUUCACGCUAAAGUGACCCACUCACCGCCGUAGAUCUCUAGAUGUGCGGUUCAGGCCGUUGUAACGUCUCUUUUAAACUUUACCGCAUCUCUGUAAUUUGAACUUGUCACUGUCUUACUUUUCACCUGCUCCAUCCUCCUUUUUAACCCUCCUCCGGCUUGUGGAGAGGGCAUUCUGGAUAAUUCUGGGCUUGGCCCCUUGAGCCGCCGUGUUCCGGCUGGCGAACCCUAGCUUUGCGUGGUUUCAGAUCCACCCGAACAACGCUCAAUUUCCAUCGAAAGUUCGCGUUUUUACUCUGUUUUCAGCAAUACUCCGACAGUUCCUAGGCUAGAUCCUGUCAAUUGGUUAUCAGAGCAAGGUUUUAGAUCCUUGGAGGCAUUGAGUUGGACCAGAUCUGAUCUGGGUCCGGCGAGGCGGCGGUGGACGCAGGGAGGAGACGGCGACGGUAGAUCGUUCGGCGGCAAGGAAGGCUGAGGCGGAGGUUUCUGUAGAACACUUCUACAGAGUAAAAUCCCACCCAACCCACCUCCUGGUGUUGUUUCAUUCUCGGCGCGACAAGCUGUGGGGCAGGUUGCCGGAGAUCCGGUGGUAAAUUCCCCCCCCCCCCUCACCCGCCCUCCUGGGCUGAACCAUAGUCCGGAUGGCGACGCCGGAAGAAUCCCUGGAUACAGGUAUCCUAGAGCUCGAGUCUCUACAAUUGGACAUAAAAACUUUAUGCCAAGACAGAGAGGAAGACAAGAAGGAGUUCUAUGAUUUUACUGAAACAGUCAACAGGAACUUUGCAAGCAUUGACAGAAAUUUCAAAAAGAUCCAGGCCAGCCUGAAGAAAUUGGUGCAGGAGGACAAGGUGGAAGAAGAAGAGGAUGAUGGUGACCCUCUCUCAGCUCAAGCUAGCAACAAAGCAGCAACCACUAUUCCUCCCGGGAGACCUAAACAACUGCAGCCACAAAACAACACGGGUACUAUUGUUUUGGUGGAUAAAGUGACAGGGAAAGAUUUAACCUAGAUGGCACCCCCAAGGCUCCUUUCAGGCAUCCAAACCAUUUUGGUAGUAGACCUGACACCAGUACACCUCAGAGCAGAGUGGGACAACAACAACAAAAUAUCAUGGUCAUUGCAGAAUUACCUGAAGAAGCCCCAAGGCAGGAAGAAAAUAGAACCAAACACACUCAUAAUGAUGUGAGAAGGAACAUCCUGAGUGUGAAACCAGCUAAAUUAAAUAUCUAAAAAUUUGAAGGAACUGAUGCUGACUCUUGGAUUUAGAACAUUGAGCAAUUCUUUGAAGCUUCCAGAACGCCCUUGGAACAAAGAACUGAAAUUGUAGUGUCCUAUCUGAAAGGAGAAGCAAUACAGUGGUGGAGAGGCACGGGCUUUCUGGUCACAAACAUGCCCUGGCACAGGUUUUGCUCCUAUCUGACAGACAGGUUUUCAACAAACUCUGUUUGUGAAAAUGUCAAAGCCUUCCACAGCCUGAAUCAAACUAGUACUGUGGCACAAUACAUUGCUGCUUUCGAGCAAAACAUGAAUCUUAUGAGGAGAGACAACCCUGCAGUUCCAGAUAGUUAUUACAUGCACAGCUUCAUAUCUGGGUUAAGCCCUUAUAUUCAGAGUCACCUAGAAUGCCACCAACCUGACAAUAUGCAGAGAGCAAUGUGGUUGGCAAGGAGAAUAGAAAAGUCAAGUCCUGCAACCAACAACUACAAAAGUUACACACCUAACUACAGGAAAACAGCUGCUACUGAAAGCAACAAAACACCAAUCAUUCCUAUAGUUCCUGCUGCCACUGUCAUUCAUCAAGCAAGAGAGAAAGGAAUUUGCUAUAAAUGUAGAGAACCUUGGUUUCCUGGUCACAAACAAGUGUGCAAAAUGUCCCAGAAGUCUCAAAUUCAAGCUUUACAAGAACAAAGUGCAGUGAACCCUGAUGUUAUCUACAUUGUAGAUGCUAAAGAAGAACAAACUGACACUGAAGAAGACAAUUCAGACUCCCAGCAACUGAAAAUUUACAUGCAUGCUGCUAAUGGCACUCCUGAGGAACAACCUAAGCACACCUUCACAUUACAAGUGCAACUUGGAUCGACCAUGGCUCUAGCACUUGUAGAUAGUGGCAGUACCACCACUUUUCUCUCCCCUUUAAUAGCCUUAAGAGCUGGCUGUGAACUGACACCAGCCAAACAGGUCAAAGUAACGGUUGCAAAUGGAGGAACACUCCUUAGUGAUUUUUCCUGCAAAAAGCAAAACUACCACAUUCAGGGAACAUCCUUUUGUUCUGAUUUCAGAGUUUUGAAACUCACUAGAUAUGAUAUGAUUUUAGGAGUAGAUUGGAUGUAUCAACACAGCCCAGUAACUUUUGAUCUUCCUAAUCUAACACUGUCAAUCAAACAUGAUCAAGGAAACCUCACCACUUUCAUUGAUGAAAGUCUGCCAACUAGUCCCUGUUCUCCAACAUUGCAAGAAAUGGAUCAUCUUUUGGAAGAAAUAUUAUCUGGAGCUCUACUGUGGAUGCAACCUGUCAGUAUGGACACUGGGCAAGUCCAGAAACACAACUCUGAGAUCUCUGAACUUCUAACUGAAUUUCAGGAUGUGUUUCAAGAACCUGCAGGUUUACCACCCAAGAGAUCGUGUGAUCAUGCUAUCAACCUUGAACCUGGAGCACCUGUCAUUAAUCAGAGAUGCUACAGGAUGCCCCCUCAACAGAAAAAUGCAAUGGAACAAAUCAUAAAGGAUCUCAUCCAGAAGGGAAUAAUUAGACUGAGCAGUAGCCCUUAUUCUUCUCCAGCAAUCUUAGUGAAGAAAAAGGAUGGCACUUGGAGACUGUGUGUGGACUACAGGAAGUUGAAUGCUUACACUAUUAAGAACAAAUACCCCAUUCCUAUGAUUGAAGAUCUCCUAGAUGAGCUACAUGGAGCAACAAUCUUUACUAAGAUUGACCUAAGGAGUGGUUACCACCAAAUAAGGAUGAAAAAAGAGGAUAUUGAGAAAACUGCUUUUAGUACACACAUGGGCCUGUAUGAAUUUCUGGUGAUGCCUUUUGGAGUAACCAAUGGACCACAUUCCUUCCAUCAACUGAUGCACUCGGCUUUGGGGCCAUACCUAAGGACUUGUGUACUGGUAUUUUUUGAUGAUAUUCUGGUUCUCAGCAAAUCCUAUAAAGAACAUGUGAAGCACCUGAAGAUGGUUUUCAAAGCUCUGAGAGACCACCCGUUGUAUGCUAAAAUGUCCAAGUGCAUGUUUGCACAGAAGAAAGUGGAAUAUCUGGGGUUUGUUAUUUCUGCUGAAGGAGUAUCAAUAGACCCUGCUAAAGUGGAAGCAAUCACCCAAUGGCCCACACCAACAAAUGUAACUCAACUCAGAAGUUUUCUGGGAUUAGCAGGGUACUACAGGAGGUUCAUUAGGGAUUUUGGAGUUAUGUGCAUAUCUCUGUUUGAUGCACUAAAGAAAGAUGCUUUCACCUGGGCUGAGAAACAAGAACAAGCUUUUCAAAUGUUGAAAACUUGCAUGACACAAGCUCCAGUCCUUGCUCUGCCUGAUUACUCCUCCCCUUUUGUGUUGGAAGAAGAUGCUUCUGGUUAUGGAAUUGGGGCAGUUUUAAUGCAAAAAGGGCAACCUAUAGCUUUCCUCAGUAAAUCCCUGGGCCCCAAAGCAGCUGGUUGGUCAACCUAUGACAAGGAGGCCCUGGCCAUCAUUGAAGCACUCAAACAGUGGAAGCAUUACUUUGCUUCUUCCUCCAUAAUCAUAAGAACUGACCAACAGAGCCUCAAACAUAUACAAGAACAGAAAUUAACUGAGGGAAUUCAACAUAAGCUCCUUAUAAAGCUCUUGGGCUACAAAUUUACUGUGGAAUACAAGAAGGGCAAAGAAAACAAAGUAGCUGAUGCUCUGUCCAGAGUUAAGUAUGCUCUACAAACUCUGUCCACCACUGCUGCAGUUCCUGUUUGGAUUAAAGAGGUGGUCAACAGUUACAAAAAUGACCAAAAGUGCUCUGACUUACUAGCUGAACUAGCUAUUGCUCCUACAGGGCACCCCCCUAUACCCUAACUAGUGGAGUGUUGAGGUAUAAAGGAAAGAUUCUCAUUGGAAAUAACAAUGAGCUGAGAACUUCACUUCUGCAAUCCUUUCAUACUUCUGAAUUAGGAGGGCAUUCCGAAGAAAGAGCUACAUAUCACAGAUUAAAAAUACUGUUUUCCUGGCCGGGUAUGAGACAAGCAGUAAAAACCUUUGUGCAACAGUGCCCUGUGUGUCAGAUCAACAAAGCUCACCACCUGCCUUCUCUUGGACUACUUCAACUUCUCCAUGUUCCUGAUUUUGCAUGGACUCACAUAUCCAUGGACUUUGUGGAAGGAUUACCUGUCUCUGACAAUAAAGACCUCAUUCUGGUGGUGGUUGAUAGGUUCACAAAAUAUGCUCAUUUUAUUGGUCUCAAACACCCCAUCAAUGUGAAAAUUGUAGCACAAGCAUUUACAGACAACAUUUUUAAACUGCAUGGGCUCCCUACUGUCAUGGUUACUGACAGAGAUAGGAUCUUUACCAGCCAAUUGUGGCAGAAUCUGUUCACCAGAAUGGGAGUGAAAUUACACCUUAGUACUUCCUAUCAUCCUCAAACUGAUGGACAGACAGAAAGAGUGAACCAAUGCCUGGAAAAUUACUUGAGAUGCAUGGCUUUUGCACAUCCAAGGAAAUGGUAUAAGUGGCUGUCUAUGGCAGAAUGGUGGUACAACACAAGUUUUCAUACCUCCAUCAACAUGACUCCUUUUCAGGCACUGUAUGCCAAGCCACCACCACUCAUUGCUGAACUCAUGCUACCCCCACCUGAAGGGGAAGACACACAAGCUGAACUGGACAGAGACACAAUUGCUCAACAGAUCAAAGAAAAUUUGCUAAAAGCACAAGAAAGGAUGAAACACUUUGCUGACAGUAAAAGAUCUGACAAGCAACUUGAGGCUGGGGAUAUGGUAUACAUUAAGUUACAGCCUUACAGACACACUAGCCUCAGCAUCCACACACACCUGAAACUUCACUCAAAAUACUAUGGACCAUUCAAAGUUCUUGAGAAAAUUGGAGUUGUGGCAUACAAACUCCUCCUGCCUGACGACUGCAAACUACACCCAACCUUCCACAUCAGCCAGCUCAAAAAGCAUCUUGGUCCUGAUGCAGUUCCCAACCCUAAACUGCCACUGUUGGAUGAGCAUGGCCACAUUCUCAUACAACCUGAAGCAAUCCUGCAGCGCAAAUUGAUACCAAGAGACCAAGGCGACAUCAGCAUACCAGUGGUGCAGUGGCUGAUCAAGUGGAUCAACCUUCCAGAGGACAAGGCCACUUGGGAAGAUGCAGCCUUCAUACAGAAAGUUUUUCCCAGUUUUCAGCCUUGAGGACAAGUCUACUGUCCAAGUGCGUUUCAACCGUCGAUCGACGAUCCUACGGCUUCGGCGCGUGUACCGCUUCGCGCUAAAGUGACCCACUCUCCGCCGUAGAUCUCUGUGCGGUUCAGGCCGUUGUAACGUCUUUUUUAAACUUUACCGCAUCUCUGUAAUCUGAACUUGUCGCUGUCUUACUUUUCACCUGCUCCAUCCUCCUUUUUAACCCUCCUCCGGCUUGUGGAGAGGGCAUUCUGGAUAAUUCUGGGCUUGGCCCCUUGAGCCGCCGUGUUCCGGCUGGCGAACUCUAGCUUUGCGUGGUUUCAUAUCCACCCGAACAACGCUCAAUUUCCAUCAAAAGUUCGCGUUUUUACUCUGUUUUCAGCAAUACUCCGACAGUUCCUAGGCUAGAUCCUGUCAUGGGGCACCAUUCCUGACAGCACCGACGGUCGCAACUCCACCAGCAUAUGGGCAACGGAAGUUAAUGUGUACAGUGGAUUAGUGAGAACAGAACUCCGCCGUAGGCUCGAACUUAACACAACGUUUUUCAGUAACUAAAGCUAAGGGUGUUCUUUUUAGCCCUGAAGAAGAAAAACUAACCUCCACCACCUUUCUUUAGUCGAACGACGAAGUAGGGAGUAUUUGGGGAAAGAAAUCAUAUACGAGUUUAUAAGAGACAAGGCAGAGGGAAUCAUAUAAAGCUGGAAAUUACAAGUGAUUCGUGCUUCUUUAUUUAUUUUUUAAUCAAUCAAAGCCAAAGGCGAUUCUUUCUUUCUUUCUUUUUUUUUGCAGGGUAAAGCCGAAGGCGAUUCUUCCAUGAUUAUCGCUCAAUGGUUCUAGAUUUCCCUCCUGGGUUUCACCAUUCUGGAAGUUCUUGGACCGAAAGUACAAAGGGUAAAAGUUCACAAAAAAACUGCCAAAAAGAACCAUGAGUUUCAGGGAAAUACAAGUCCGGGAGAGACAAGGCAUGGUAACAAGUCAGGCCAUGCCACGGAACAUUGACACAAUAGAGAGCAUUCAGGAGAAUCCAAGCCUAGCAAACCAGUAUUAAUACCACAACACAUGCGUUUUUCAGGGAGGUUUCUUGCGUUUACAGGCUCCGACAUCAUACGAGUAGAGAGACCUCGGACAACACUUCAUCAGCUAGAGCCAUGCAUAACAGCUGAAUGAUACUCUUACGUUUUACAGGAAACCUGGAUAUAUCUGUCUUAUUAACAACACUGCGGCAACAGCAUUACCACGGACAGCAUGAAUUUGCAUCCGACUGAAGCCCACGGGUGAUCAUCGAUCCGCCCUAGUGCGCCCGGUCACGGAGGACGUCGAGCUCCACCUCGGUCGGGUCAGUUGCUUGGAUCUCGUAGUGGAACCCGUCGAGCUCCUGCUUGAUGCGGUUCUUGGAGGUGGAGUACAGCAUCUUGGCGCGGAUGCGGGAUGUGUCAGGGGACCUGGUGCAGCAAGUGCAUUAUAUUAGCUAUAAAUAAGGUGAAGUGAGAUCAAUGGACAGGGAAGAGAGGAUGCAUCGGCCAUCAGGCCAUCAGGCAUGUGCAGAAGGUGAACUUUUUUUUAUCUAUGUAUAAGAACACUGCUAUCAGACAAGUCAACUUUGAUCUUUCCAGAAUCACGAUAUAUGGGAGUAUAUUACACAUAUGUAAAGUUUGGUGAUGAAAUAAGUAAACAUGUGAGCUAUACAAAAAUGACAAAAUGGUGAUUUCCAAACAGUGAACAAUGCAUGCACUGUUCAUCUUUCCAGAAUCAUGAUUUUGUCUUUUUUGUGUAACUCACAUGGUUACUUAUUUCAGCAUCAAAAUUUGCACAUGUGUAAGACACAUCCAUAUAAAUGUGUUGAUUUAUUUUCAGAAUUCAAAAUAUAGGGCUCCGAUGCACCCGUCCUCCAAAGUGACUUUUUUCUAUCUGACAAGUCAACUUUCACAAUAAAGAACAACAAAUUGGCAAAGCAUAUUUCUGAAGACAUGUGGACAUACACUGUUGUUCUUUCUCUGACAGCUACAAGCAUAGGUACCAGGCACAAAUAAAAUAAGAAAAGGCUACCAUUGCUAUAGAUUCCUCUAGCAAUGUCCGUCAUGGUUAUAAAUAAGCUGAAGUGAAAUAAAGAGGAUAAAGGGAGUGCAUCGGCUAUAAAGCAGUGCAAAUAGGCAAAGCAUAUUCUGAAGACAAGUGGACAUGCAGUGUUAUCUUUUCUGGACAGCUACAAGCAUAGAUACAAAACAAGAAAAGGCUAUCAUGGCCAUAGAUUCCUCUAGCAAUACCCGUCCAGUUUCACGAUUCAAUACUUCAUAUAGAAAAAUAUUAAGAAACCCAAAAUAUAUCAGUUUCACGAUUCAAUACUUCAUAUAGAAAAAUAUUAAGAAACCCAAAAUAUAUCAAGUGUAAAUUCGUGAGAAGAACUUCAAUGACAAUUCAACAAGAUCUAGUUAGGGUCCAUUUUUCAAAAGAAGCUAUUUAAGACUAGCUAUGCAAACAUUAACAUAUGGAUACGUGACUAUGAAACUCACCAGGCAAUGAAGAAAAUCUUGCUUUUCUGCACAUUCUCCCCAGUAACAAAGUCAAAAUCAUAAAGGGCAUAUCUGCAGUCCUUUUCUGGGAGACAAGCCAGGAAAUCAUCAUAACUCUCAGUUGUAGCCCCUGUCUUCUCCACAACAACCUGUUUUUGCUUUUCUUCGAUUUUGAAGAUAACAUAGCGAAAUGCCUUCUUCAUCUGAAGCUCCAGGAAUGUCUCCCUGAUAUCAGGAGCAACUCCCAUGCCAGAGGAUGCAUUGGACUGCAAAAAGAACACACAUAAGAGAAUGAUGGAGACCAAAAAAUUGACAACAAGCCAAG